rnacentral:rRNA from 1 species
GACGAACGCUGGCGGCGUGCUUAAUACAUGCAAGUCGAACGGACAGGCCCUGCUCUUGCUGGUCGCUCGAGUGCCGAACAGGUGAGUAACACGUGAGUAACCUGCCCCUGUCAUUGUGAUAACUUCUGGAGACUGGGGCUAUUACCGCAUAUGAUCUCCUGCUGCAUGGGGGGGGAUGGAAAGAUUCGGCGGUUGGGGAUGGUAUCGCUGCUUAUCCGCUUGUUUGUGAGGUAGUGGCUUACCAAGGUUUUGACGGGUAGCCGGCCUGAGAGGGUUACCGGCGACAAGGGGACUGAGAGACGGCGCAGAAGGCUACGGGACGCAGCAGGGGAGAAUAUUACGCAAUGGGCGGAAGCGAGAGGCGGCAACGUUGGGUGCGGGAUAAUGGGCUUCGGGGUGUAAACCGAUGUCUCCGGUGAUGAAGCGUGAGUGACGGUAAUGGGUAAGGAAGCAACGGCUAACUACGUG